AUUGACAGUUAUUCAAAGUUUGAUCAAGCACAUCCGAAAGCAUAAUUUGUGCUGUUUGCUUUCAGUCCCGAUCCAGCCAUCCUGGCCAAGCUGGCCAUCACCAUGCAAAGAGUCUAGCUCUAGAUGGUGGACUACUGGUCUAAUAUUCGUACAGACUUUUGGACUGUGUCUGUCCAAACGCCAUUGAUGCAUUGGUCGGUUCUUCCACCAGCCUAAUAACUGGAGGCUUGCUUCAGUUCUGGACCACUUUCACUUGACUGCCUAUACCCCUUGAGCAGCUUCUGACCAGAUCAUGCAGGGGAGGUGAACACAGGAAAAAUACAAAGGGUGCUAGCACGGUGCUAUUUCCGGGUCCACUCUCUGAUGGCUGAUUUGGACACUGACAUGGAUUUGUCCAGAAAAAAGGGGUAGCGAAGGACUCAGGAGUGCUGAAGAACAGGAGAAGCCGAGGAUUGUGGUCAAUUGUUGCAGACUCCAAUCGUGUAGUCAGGUACUGUGGAUUCGGCAUAGCUACUGCAAGAGACUGCAAUACUCUUCCUACUGCUGUCAGCACCUGCCUCGCUUGCCAAAUGCCAAUGCCUGGCUAUGUACUGUAUAUGAACAGCCUUAGAGACUGGUGUCCUUGUUCAACAGCAACCAUCUUUUCAUACCAUACUGGGGGCCGGGGAUCGGAAGAGGCGCCUACAUGCCUCUUGGGCCUUGUUUAGUUGGGGAAUUUGGGAGGUGUCAAAUUACUGUUACAGCACUGUAGCACACUGUAGCGUUUCGUUUGUAUUUGUGAAUUAUUGUCCAAA